rnacentral:rRNA from 1 species
AUGGCCGCAACCAAUGCAAACACACAAUUGAUCAUGCAAAUUCUUCAAGAGCGCAAUCAAGGCAACCAAGGGAAUCAAGGCAACAAUCAGAAUCACUUUGCUACACUCAACCAGUUCCUUGCUAACGGGCCAAAGGCUUUCAGCAAUUGUGUUGAGGCAACCUAUGCUGACGAUUGGCUUGUGGAUCUGUGCAAGCAUUUCGAGUGCAGUAAUAUCAGGCCUGAGGACUUUGUUAAGUUCGCUUCCUUCCAACUCAAAGAUCAAGCUGCAGAAUGGUUCCAGCAGUACAAGGAUUCCAUAGGUGGACGUGUUAUCACUUGGGAUGAUUUCCGUCGAGAUUUCCGAGCUCAUCAUAUCCCUCAGAGUGUGGUUGAAAGCAAGCGUCAGGAAUUCCGCUACCUGAAGCAAGGCUCUUUGUCUGUCUAUGACUACAACAAGUUGUUUCAGAAGCUCGCCCGCUUUGCCAAGUAG